GAUGCGUCUGAAGGUACCUCCAAAGGGAGCUCCGGCUAACUCCGUGCCAGCAGCCGCGGUAAUACGGAGGGAGCAAACGUUGUUCGGAUUUACUGGGUGUAAAGGGUGCGUAGGCGGCUACGUGUGUCAGAGGUGAAAGCUCACGGCUCAACCGUGGAACUGCCUUUGAAACUGCGUAGCUUGAGUCCGAGAGAGGAUGGUGGAAUUCCUGGUGUAACGGUGAAAUGUGCAGAUAUCAGGAAGAACACCGGUGGCGAAGGCGGCCAUCUGGCUCGGUACUGACGCUGAGGCACGAAAGCUAGGGUAUCGAACGGGAUUAGAUACCCCGGUAGUCCUAGCCGUAAACGAUGUCCACUAGGUGUCGGAGGUCCUACCCCUUCGGUGCCGGAGCUAACGCAUUAAGUGGACCACCUGGGGAGUACGCUCGCAAGGGUGAAACUCAAAGGAAUUGACGGGGGCCCGCACAAGCGGUGGAGCAUGUGGUUUAAUUCGAUGCAACGCGAAGAACCUUACCUGGGCUUGACAUGCAGGGGACAGGUGUAGAGAUACACCCUUCUUCGGACUCCUGUACAGGUGCUGCAUGGCUGUCGUCAGCUCGUGUCGUGAAAUGUUGGGUUAAGUCCCGCAACGAGCGCAACCCUUGUCCUUAGUUGCCAGCACGUCAUGGUGGGAACUCUAGGGAGACUGCCGGUGACAAACCGGAGGAAGGUGGGGACGACGUCAAGUCAUCAUGGCCCUUACGUCCAGGGCUACACACGUGCUACAAUGGCACAUACAGAGGGCAGCGAACCCGCGAGGGGAAGCCAAUCCCAAAAAGUGUGCCUCAGUUCGGAUCGCAGUCUGCAACUCGACUGCGUGAAGUCGGAAUC
rnacentral:rRNA from 1 species